ACGGAGCACCCUUGAUUGAGGUUUCGGCCAAAUGAUAGGAAUGCUUAGUGGCGGACUGGUGAGUAACGCGUGAGGAACCUGCCUUUCAGAGGGGGACAACAGUUGGAAACGACUGCUAAUACCGCAUGACGCAUUUUGAUCGCAUGGUCGAAAUGCCAAAGAUUUAUCGCUGAAAGAUGGCCUCGCGUCUGAUUAGCUAGUUGGUGAGGUAACGGCCCACCAAGGCGACGAUCAGUAGCCGGACUGAGAGGUUGACCGGCCACAUUGGGACUGAGAUACGGCCCAGACUCCUACGGGAGGCAGCAGUGGGGAAUAUUGGGCAAUGGGCGCAAGCCUGACCCAGCAACGCCGCGUGAAGGAAGAAGGCUUUAGGGUUGUAAACUUCUUUUAAGUGGGAAGAGCAGAAGACGGUACCACUUGAAUAAGCCACGGCUAACUACGUGCCAGCAGCCGCGGUAAUACGUAGGUGGCAAGCGUUGUCCGGAUUUACUGGGUGUAAAGGGCGUGCAGCCGGGCAUGCAAGUCAGAUGUGAAAUCUCAGGGCUUAACCCUGAAACUGCAUUUGAAACUGUAUGUCUUGAGUGCCGGAGAGGUAAUCGGAAUUCCUUGUGUAGCGGUGAAAUGCGUAGAUAUAAGGAAGAACACCAGUGGCGAAGGCGGAUUACUGGACGGUAACUGACGGUGAGGCGCGAAAGCGUGGGGAGCGAACAGGAUUAGAUACCCUGGUAGUCCACGCUGUAAACGAUGGAUACUAGGUGUGCGGGGACUGACCCCCUGCGUGCCGCA
rnacentral:rRNA from 1 species